AUGGCUGCUGCGUGCUCCAUCUCCGGUGGCUUAUCGGCAUUGGUGAUUAGUCUCGACAGUGGCAGCAGAACCACAACGAAUUGUGGUGGUCAUCAAAAGAGUUCUCGAGGGUUCCUCAUCGGUGGUUUGCUUCGGUGGUGUGAUGCAAUCUACAGACAACGGCUUGACGCAGAGGAUAUGGUUGUGCGGCGGCGGUAUUUGGUUUCUUGGCCAAAGCAUGUUGCUGCUGAGGAAGUGAAAAAGUGGUGGCAACAACACAUGAUUAACUUAGACGAGCUCCGCGGUGAAAAUCUAGGUCUAACCAUGUUGGUUAUACUUGGCAAUGGCGAUGUUGUUGCAUCGUCACCUUAUUGA
rnacentral:rRNA from 1 species